rnacentral:lncRNA from 1 species
CAGCAAGCUUGAGAAAAUGGCCUUCCUUGCCCAGAUAUCCUACAUGUGUUGAUGCCGCCUUGGAUGGAGUUUACUUUCUGGCAGUCAAAUCAGUGUUGAGUCACGUUACACUGAAAAUCAACUAAAUUUCUCAAGUUUUUUUUUUUAUCCGUGUACUGCUGUGUAGUCAUGUUCACGGUUCCCUACAUUUGUGAAGUCGGUAGACGGUGCCCAAGAUUUGAGCUUUGUUGUUUCUCUUAUUAGACGCUGUCCUCUCAGACUUAGUCCAUCAUUGUAGCUUGUUGAGAUAUUUGGGAGAGCUGAGCCCACCGGCGUAGUAGUUCUUUCAUUAUGUUCCUGCUCUUUGCCUUUUUGAUUAAUUUGCUAUGUUUGUCUUCAGAUAAAAUAUCUGAAAGGGAAGAGCUAAGGACAGACCUGGGUAGGAUUUAAGUAGAUACUGGAGCUUCCUUUUAACCAUUCUAGUAAUUCUUAACUUUGACUGCACCUAGAAUACCAAAAGAUUUCAAAACCACACCUGAGUGUGUUUGCGCCUGUGUGCACCAUCAUGAGACUCUACUUAAUUGGUCUAGGUUAAGACGUGAGCCUCAGGAUCCUGUUAGGCAACCAAGUUGAGAAUCUCUGGCAUCUCCAGCUGGAGCCCGGCUUACCCCUGAGGACUGUGAAAUCAACAGAAUUGAAAUAUAGUUUGCUGAUGAUAUUUUGAGAAGUUCAACAACCUGGAUGUCCUACCAAGAUCCUGUUGAUAGUUCUGUGGCUCCUGAAGCCCAGGACCCUUAAUUCAGAAACAGGGAAAACAACUGAGGCCUUCGGUGAUGGGGAGGAAGCCUCUAAUUCCCUAGUUUCACGUUUGAUGAGGUGCCUUCCCACUGAUGAGCACAGCUGGCUGCAUGAUAUGAUACCAUGUUUUAGGAAAAGUACAAAAUGAAGAGUAGUCUCUCUGGAAUAUGAAGAACAAGAUGGGAAGGACUGAAGACACUAAGGUAAACCAUUAGUUUUCCCAGCUAAGCCUCUAUUUCAGUUCUACAUUUUCAAGGCAAAGUGCUGUGUGCCUUUCUUUCCUUUGAUUAUUGAACUGUGAUCCU